rnacentral:rRNA from 1 species
ACGCACGCUGGCGGCGUGCUUCACCCAUGCAAGUCGAACGGAAAGGCCCCUUUGGGGGUACUCGAGUGGCGAACGGGUGAGUAACACGUGAGUAACCUGCCCUUGACUUCGGGAUAACUUCAGGAAACUGGGGCUAAUACCGGAUAGGAAUCCUUGCUGCAUGGUGGGGGUUGGAAAGCUUCGGCGGUUUUGGAUGGACUCGCGGCUUAUCAGCUUGUUGGUGGGGUAGUGGCUUACCAAGGCUUUGACGGGUAGCCGGCCUGAGAGGGCGACCGGCCACAGUGGGACUGAGAUACGGCCCAGACUCCUACGGGAGGCAGCAGUGGGGAAUAUUGCACAAUGGGCGGAAGCCUGAUGCAGCAACGCCGCGUGCGGGAGGACGGCCUUCGGGUUGUAAACCGCUUUCAGCAGGGGCGAAGCUUGUGGUGACGGUACCUGCAGAAGAAGCACCGGCUAACUACGUG